rnacentral:misc_RNA from 1 species
AUACCAAUAUCUUCUUCGAAGGAAGUCUCGCCACAGAAAACAUCUAACAAGGAUAUUAUUCCAAACUCAAGUCCAGCAGUAAAUUUACCAACGUUACCCAGACAUAUGAACAGUGACUUACAUGUUACUAGUUCCGACGGCUCUUUGGCCAAAGCAGAUCAUAUAGAUAUCAACCAUGUUGACAGAGGCUUGGGUGUCCCAGUUUCUACUUCUCUCAAUCUAAUUGGUGCCAACACAUCUGCCAUCCCACAGGCUAAUGAUAAUGCUGCUUCAACCCAGGACUCUGGCUGUAAAACGUUAGAGAAAUCUGACCCUGAAAUAUUACCAAGUCAACAAAUGUUGGAAAGUAGCAAGGUUGGCGUUUCAAAUCAAAUUUCUGUUGGUAACAUGACUUCUGGGUUUGAUUCUAAUUUUAAAAAGUUGAUGCCUGAUGAGUCAAAUAAAAUAUCAAGUUCAACUAUGGUAGAGCGACCUUUGAUCUCAAAAACUCUUGAUACCAAGCAAGGCAGGAGAUUGAAAAGAAAACAUUUGAAGUACCAUUUGGGAAGCUUGCAUCUCAGCUCAAACAUUCUUUUCAAGACAUCUUUAAGCCUGUGUAAGAAGAAGAAACAUAGAAGGAAAAAAUGCGGAUCUGCAGUCUCCAAGUGUCCCACUGGAGGAAGUUUGUUCAGUAUAGAUGACAUGUCAUCUGAUUUCGGCCCAUCUACAUCUGAGAAAUCCAAGUCUGUUUACUUAGUUUCAACUUGUAAGCCCAGGAAGAAGUCUAAGCAUGGUUCUAGAGACAGUAAAGGUAAUUCUGCAAGGAAAGGAGAUCUUAAAAUGGAGUUACUGACUGAUAUAGUUGAUAAAGAAAGUGGAAAGAGAAGUACAGAGGCAAGUUCGGCGCCUGCAACCAUGAAUCAAAUGAACUGUAGCACUGACUCUAUCAUAAUGGCUAAUCACAAUGAUUCCACUGAAGCAAUUUGUCCAAAAGAUAGAAAAAGAAGUGUUAAUCAAGAUGGCUUGCAUCGUGUUCAUACCAACGGGUUUCAAAAU